AAGACUAUAGACCUGCGGAGUACCUGCGGAAGGAUCAUUACCGAGUUAGGGUUCCUCUCACGGGCCCGACCUCCCAACCCUGUGUCUAUCACACCUUGUCGUUGCUUCGGCGGACCGGUUUGACUCCGGUCGCGACCGCCGGGGGUGCUUCACCCCGGGAGGGCGUCCGCCGAUGGCCCAACCACAAAACUUCUUUGUACCAAAACCGGUCGUCUAAAUCAAACUUGAUCAUAAUCAAAA
rnacentral:misc_RNA from 1 species